UACGAAGGGUGCAAGCGUUACUCGGAAUUACUGGGCGUAAAGCGUGCGUAGGUGGUUCGUUAAGUCUGAUGUGAAAGCCCUGGGCUCAACCUGGGAAUGGCAUUGGAAACUGGCGACCUAGAGUGCGGUAGAGGGCAGUGGAAUUCCAGGUGUAGCGGUGAAAUGCGUAGAUAUCUGGAGGAACACCGGUGGCGAAGGCGGCAUCCUGGACCGGUAUUGACGCUGAGGCGCGAAAGCUAGGGGAGCAAACGGG
rnacentral:rRNA from 1 species